rnacentral:rRNA from 1 species
UAGGGAAUCUUCGGCAAUGGGGGGAACCCUGACCGAGCAACGCCGCGUGAGUGAAGAAGGUUUUCGGAUCGUAAAGCUCUGUUGUUAAGGAAGAACGAGUGUGAGAAUGGAAAGUUCAUACUGUGACGAUACUUAACCAGAAAGGGACGGCUAACUACGUGCCAGCAGCCGCGGUAAUACGUAGGUCCCGAGCGUUGUCCGGAUUUAUUGGGCGUAAAGCGAGCGCAGACGGUUAGAUAAGUCUGAAGUUAAAGGCAGUGGCUCAACCAUUGUAGGCUUUGGAAACUGUUUAACUUGAGUGCAGAAGGGGAGAGUGGAAUUCCAUGUGUAGCGGUGAAAUGCGUAGAUAUAUGGAGGAACACCGGUGGCGAAAGCGGCUCUCUGGUCUGUAACUGACGCUGAGGCUCGAAAGCGUGGGGAGCGAACAGG